UACGGAGGGGGUUAGCGUUGUUCGGAAUUACUGGGCGUAAAGCGUGUGUAGGCUGCGCGGAAAGUCAAAUGUGAAAGCCAAGGGCUCAACCUAAGAACUGCAUUUGAUACUGGUUAUCUUGAGUAUGGUAGAGGAAAGUAGAAUUUCCGGUGUAGCGGUGAAAUGCGUAGAUAUCGGAAGGAAUACCAGUGGCGAAGGCGGCUUUCUGGACCAAUACUGACGCUGAGACACGAAAGCGUGGGGAGCGAACAGG
rnacentral:rRNA from 1 species